UGAGCAAUCUGCCCUUCUCAUCGGAAUAAGCGUUGGAAACGACGUCUAAUGCCGAAUACGACCUCCUUUCACAUGAUUGGAGGUGGAAAGCUCCGGCGGAGAAGGAUGAGCUCGCGGCCUAUCAGCUAGUUGGUGUGGGUAAUGGCCCACCAAGGCGACGACGGGUAGCCGGCCUGAGAGGGUGACCGGCCACACUGGGACUGAGACACGGCCCAGACUCCUACGGGAGCAG
rnacentral:rRNA from 1 species